CAAUGACAAAUGAAUUCCGAUAAAUAUUUACCGCGUCCGCGGAUUUCUGGCGGUUGACUUGACGAUCGGCGAGGCAGGAACGCUCGAACGAACCGUUGGUCUUUCAUUCUUCGACCGUCGUUUGGAUAGAUUCAUAGGAAAUCCUGAACAUAAAUGGCUUCCGAAAAGGAAGUUGAGAGGACAUGGAGCCGCUGCGCCACGUGGGAAGCAGCAUUGGGUUUAUCUUGCCGAGUUCCAGCAAGACUUCGGGCUGACAUAGCUCUUAAAUGAUAAUGAAGGACCUCGGUACUCUUCUGGCUGAAGUCUAGGAUGGCUUGAUCUCCACAGCUCUUGCCCUUGGAAGGGGUUAAGACACCACUGCUGUUUUGGCUGAAUGCUGAUAGUGAAGAAUACUCCUUGUGGCUUUAAAGAAAAUGGAGGGUAGUAUCAGAGCAGAUAAGAUAUAUUGCCAUCAUUGCUACAGAUUGCAUACCAUGCAGCAAGUGUGAAUGUAGUCGACUGAAAAGAUACUAGAAUUGAACCUGAAGCAGAUACGUUGCCACAACUAACACUGUGGUACAUGUAGCAGCAGCUGGAUGUUCUUUAAAGUGAAGGAUUACAUGUGCUUUUGUAAUUGUGCUGUAGGUGAAGAAAUAACUUCAAUCCAUCCAUGUUAGCAAAUGUCAAAAUUGCUAUGGGAAAUAUACGUCUACAUUUUUUUCUUGUACAGGCAAAAUGUUUGCAAUAAAUAAAUCCUGAAUAUA
rnacentral:lncRNA from 1 species